CAACUCCUUGGAGCCUCUGCCGAAGCCCUUCACCACCUCCCCGCGGCAGAAGUACGGCAGGUGCCUCAUGGCGCAGGGCAGAGCCGCCAGCACCGCCAGCCCUGCGCCGCCGCCCCGCUCCGCCGCUACCCCUUCGCACAGGGCGCUACCAACUACAGGGGAGGAUGGGGCGGGGCGCUCUUGCUUUCUCUCCAUACGGCUCUCCGGCGGGGCUUGCCCGCCCUCCGGAAUGGGCUCGUCCGCCCCGCAUGCCCAGUGCGCUGUGUCCGGCGCCCGGAGGCGGUCUCGGGCGGAGCGCGAGUGCCGGCGCUGUGGAGGGCGGCGGGCGCGGUCCCGUGUUACGGUAACAGCCGUGGCCUUCGCUCCUGCCCGCGGGACUCUCACGCUCCGCGCCCCGGGGACAGCAGGGCCCGGUCCCUCCUGCGGCUUCGUGCCAUGGAAACUGAGCAGUGGCAGCUGUGACUGUACUGCACCAGCUGCCACAUCCUGACCCUCUCAUCUGAAAGGCUGCGCGUCGCACCCAGGGCCCACGCGAUAAGGAUCGCCGCUCCCUUGAAAAAGCCUAAAAGCCUGAAGGCAGCUGUCAAAUUACAAAUGAGAUCAACUUGGAGAAAGCAUAAAGACAGCUGUCCCCUUAGUGGAAAUAUAUUUAAGCUAUAUUCCCCUGCACUGUAACUAUCUGCCAUACAGUCACAUCUGUCAGUGGUCUGUCACUGACAGAUAGCAGGAAGGGCAGCUUGUGGACUCUGUCAUCUUCAUAUUCCGGACUCAAGGUUAGAAGAGUAAAAACCAGGUGCAAACCCACUUCAUCCAUUUUUUUUCAGGAUCAGUUGACAAAAACUAUCCAUGAAAGGAACCAUAAGCCAAACACUUAUGGUCCUUGAAAUGUUACAAAGCUGCAAUAAACAAAUGAGUCUUUGACAGCAUGGUCAGCCAAGGAUCACCACCUCUGUAAUCAUGUCAGUCUAUGGAGAACUUCACUUUCUAUCUGUGCAAGAGUU